AACGAACGCUGGCGGCAUGCCUAACACAUGCAAGUCGAACGAGACCUUCGGGUCUAGUGGCGCACGGGUGCGUAACGCGUGGGAACCUGCCCUUAGGUUCGGAAUAACUCCCCGAAAGGGGUGCUAAUACCGGAUAAUGUCUUCGGACCAAAGAUUUAUCGCCUUUGGAUGGGCCCGCGUUGGAUUAGCUAGUUGGUAGGGUAAAAGCCUACCAAGGCGACGAUCCAUAGCUGGUCUGAGAGGAUGAUCAGCCACACUGGGACUGAGACACGGCCCAGACGCACGGGGGAGGCAGCAGUGGAGAAGAUUGAACAAGGGGAGAAAGCCGUAUCCAGCAUGGCGGUGGGGGUGAGGAAGGAGUUGUGGUUGUAGAGCGUUUUAACCCGGAAUGAUGAUGACGGUACCGGGAGAAGAGGCGCCGGCUAACUCCGUGCCAAGAGCGGUGGUAAUAGAUCGAAAAGAACACAUCAGAAC
rnacentral:rRNA from 1 species